rnacentral:rRNA from 1 species
AUUAAACGCUGGCGGCAUGCCUUACACAUGCAAGUCGAACGGUAGCGCGGGGCAACCUGGCGACGAGUGGCGAACGGGUGAGUAAAGCAUCGGAACGUGCCCUGGAAUGGGGGAUAACGUAGCGAAAGUUACGCUAAUACCGCAUAUUCUGUGAGCAGGAAAGCAGGGGAUCGCAAGACCUUGCGUUCUGGGAGCGGCCGAUGUCGGAUUAGCUAGUUGGUGGGGUAAAAGCCUACCAAGGCGACGAUCCGUAGCGGGUCUGAGAGGAUGAUCCGCCACACUGGGACUGAGACACGGCCCAGACUCCUACGGGAGGCAGCAGUGGGGAAUUUUGGACAAUGGGCGGAAGCCUGAUCCAGCCAUGCUGCGUGAGUGAAG